GGCCUACAUACGGUUGGUGGGCGUGAUCAGCAGGGGGAAGCUUUAUCGGAAUUCGAUGUGCAGGGCGUGUGGGCACAUGCCCUGCACAUCGAUUUCCGAUAAAGCUUCCCCCUGCUGAUCACGCCCACCAACCGUAUGUAGGCC
rnacentral:pre_miRNA from 1 species